GCCGCGAGGGAGGCCCGGCGAGGGGGGCGGCGGGAGGGCACCGCGCGUCGCGCCCGGGUCUUGGGGAUGAGGUGGUGCGGCCGUCCCUCGCGUCCCCGCGAGCACUGCGAGCUGCCCCUUCCUCUGGCCUCUAAAUACAAGGUUAGGACGAGGACCGUAGAAGUUCUUCAGGUGGAAGCACACGUCCUCGUGGCCAGACGGCAUGAGACACAUUGUGGCUGUUGUGACAUUCUGCCUCCUGACCGCACCGUGCCAGUGGCGCCGCGGACGCAGCAGGCACUGCGGUACCCGAAGAGACCGGAUUGGAGCACUGAAAUGUAAGUUUGAGAUGCAGUCUGAGCAGGAACUGCAGCUUGAAAGGAAUGGAAGGAUAAGUCAUCUAAAUUCUGAUGUAUCCAGAGUGCAGUCCACAUGGUGUGUCCAACUAGGAGAGUGGAGGUAGGACCUAGGAUAGCAGUGCCCUGUGAAGAUACAUGCAUCUAACCAAAAUCCUCAAUUUAUGUGUUGCGACGCGAGGAAGAAAAUUUUUACAGAAAAUGUAAAUUUCAGUAAAUGCCAUUAUGAAGUCUUAAUGUGACUGUUCAUUGUGUUAAGAAAUAUGGCUGUAGUAUGCAUACGCAUACUCAACAUUUAGAUAUAGUUCCUAUGCUGAGUAUUAGUAGGUAGAAUAGCAGUAGGUAGAAUAGCUUAUAGCAUGAUUUACGCAAGUGGUGGGCUCUUCCUAUUAGAGAUUUGUCUUUCCCCUUUUGUCCUUUUUCUUACUUUUUUGUUUCCUUUUAAAACCCUCUUUCAUUUAAGUUUUCAUGCUAGUUAAUCUAUUGGAUUUGGUAGAACUUCAACCUUUAAAAAAAUUAACCUUAAAAAAAUGUAGUUAGGAAAACAUAUCUGCAUUUAUUUUGAAAAGGAUCUAGUUCUUUCCCUGGAAAACUACGAUUUACUGCUAUUUUAGAGCAACAGUUUGAUAUUUGACCUGAUAUAGGCGGUGCAUCAAGUAUAAACUUUUACUACUUUUGGAGUAUUUCACCUAAACUUAGCUGUGGGCCACUGGGACUAGAGCUAAGACAUGAAAAACUAGUGAACGACUGUAAAAAUUUUGGUUAAACUGAGUUGCCCAGGAUAAUGCAGGACCUCAGAGGAAGAUAAAAUAUAAUUCUCCAGUGUGGAAUUUAACGGCUUCAUCUGCUUUAACCAUGAGUCUGUCUUUUUUUCCUAUCUCAUUCAUCGCAUUCCCUAAUACAUCUACAGUAGAUUAAGCAGGAAUCUUAAGAAAGAAGCUUCAUUUGUUAUGCAGACACAUUUUCAUUUAGAGAACAUCACCCACUCUGCAUGUUUGACGUGAACAGAUCUUGCAGGGAGAAAACCGUAUGUGAUCAUAUGAUUUCAGACAUUGUGCACUCAUCACAUGAACUGUCUGAAUUCACAUUGUGUAGACAUUUCUAGUGACAAUGGUCCUUUACUUCUAAAUAUAUGUUUGUUGCCCCUCUGUUUGUUAACCGACUGGCAAAAAUCACUGCGAAGUUCAUGAAGACAUGUCAGGUCUCUCUGAUUUGCAUGAAAAUACUGAAGUUGAUUCCAAGUUUUUCUAAAACCUUAAGUAUUGCUAGAUCCUCAUUGUCAUAAUGGUGAUUUUUGGAGAUGAAAAACGUUUUUUUUUUCUUUUUUUUUUUUUUUUUUCCGCAGGAUAUCCAUAUUCUAUUCUACUCUAUUCUGCUCCACUUUACUUUGCUGUAAUUCUUGGUACAAUAUCCUCUGCACCCAGCCUCUUUUAACUCUCUUUUGUAGGUUGCUGCCACACCAUUUGAUUUAUCCCAAACUCUCACAAAUGCAUUACCAAGUGUUCUUAAAGACAAAUGUGCUUCCAGUAUGUUAUGAGCUCAGUUGAGCUCAGCUCCUCUUAUAUGUGAAAAGGUAUAGAUACAGAAGCUUUUUUUGUAGCUCUCCAACAGCUUUUGUAAAGGGCUUUAGAUGGUUUUAAACAUGAACGAAGAGCCAAAACAGUUUAAGACACUUUAGAGAUGAAGAGAAUAAGGUGCAAGAUGUUAAAAUGACUUUCUUGAAAUAGUAUAGAAAGUCCAAAUAUCUAUUUUGGAUCUAUUUGCUAGCUCUAUAAUCAUAUUUUCUCCAAUGAGUGCACACUUUGACAUUUCAGAUCUCUCUAGAUUGAAGUUUCUUAUUCCUCUGUUGUGACUUCCAAUCUUUCUCUGCCCAUUUUUUUAACUAUAGCUUUGUAAUUGCUAGUCAGAGACCACACAUAGUGUUCUAUAUGCAUUCUGGAACAUGUCUCAGCUUAUCUCAUAUAACACUUGAGGGUAUUUUUCCCCAGUGAAUCUCAGUGUUUUGCAGUUCUCUUAGUGUGUUACCAUUUGUUUUCAUUAUACUAUUCCAGUCAAAAGUGAUUGCCUUGCAGAGAUUUUUUGGAAGCACGAUGGGAAAGUCUCUCUCUGUCUUUUUAAAUCCAGUUUAACUGCUUUAGUCUUGUACUUUAAUUGUUAAUGGGAUUUUGCUUCUUUUAUCAUGGUAUCUUACAACAAACAUUUUUGCACUUAGUUUGUUUUCACAAAUGAGUUCUAACAAAUAAAAUGCCUCAGUCACAGCUGAUACUGAUUGGUGACUCAGUGUCUUAAAAGCAACAAGUGUCAAAUGUAAUCCUGCAGGGCAAGUCACAAAAUAUGCCAUGUCCAGUCUUGAAAGAUGACUGCUAAGAUUUCACCACUUUUAUCAGAAUGGUUUUUCUUCUAUUUACACAUUGCUUAAAGAGAGACUUGAAACGGAUAGGGCAAACUAAGCUGAAUAUGGUAGAGAAUAUUAAAUCUGGCUUUAAAAAAUGUGUAUUAAUGAUUCCUCAUGUAUCAUAACUUCUUCAUUCAUUUUCUAUCUCUUUUAUUAUUACUUCAGAUAUUAAAAUACCAUUAGAUCUUUAUGUCAAGAGAAAGAAGACAGAAGAAUUGAGAACCUGACAUUGUCUUCUUUCCAAUGGUCUAAUUUUUUACAUCUUGACCUCUUCUAUCAGAGAAUUCAGCUGCCCCAACUGCAAAAGCUGUAUCAAUCUUGAUUGAACUUGAGAUUGGUUCUAAGCCUCACAGUCCAAGAUCUAGUCUCACUGAACUUUAGUACAAAUACUUUGCUGAAAACAUCCACACAUUGUGAUCAGGAGCAAUUGUGAGAACAAGAUACAGACUUCAGUAUAGCCAUUGGUUAACAGCUGGAAACUGGAAAAAGGAAAUGAAAAUACAGUGUCCGAAAGCUGCUUUCCUUUUUAAAGUAAUUUUUAUUUCAUGUACUUCUCCCACUGGAACAUAAGUGAAAUAAUGUUUGGACUUAACAGUGAUAUCCAGGUACAACUCUGAGUUUCCUUCCUUGCUCUCCUUUGGGUGCCUUGCUUUCAGUUAUUUUAAUUUCACAUCCAAAGAGCUGGUCUUGGAUCUUGGACCAAUCUCACCAAGCCUGUGGUAGUCCAGGCUGUAUUUUCUGAAUUAAUAAUACUAAAUUGACCCUGUUUGUGUGUGUGCAUGUAAACGUUUAUAUAUAUGUAUAUAUAUAUGCAGUGAGUAAAAAGGAAAUAAUGAACUGCUGGCUAAAAGGUACUUAUUAAAUCUUCAAAAUGUUUCAGAGUCAAUUCAAAUUUGGAUCUUCCAGCAUUCAUAACUCUUCUAGCUAGUGAAUUUCCAUUUUGUAGGGCAGGAGAGUCUUUAAUUGUAUUUGAUUUUAAGGAUAGAAAAUGUGACUUUCUACUUUGAAAGUUAAUUCACAGAUAUCUUAAAAUUAGUUUCUGAAACCCAUCCUCUAGUACUGUCACCAAAUACCUUCCUCAAUUAUAGCAGACCUAUAUGAGGAUGACAAGUCAGUGGCUCUAAAGAAGAGACUUAGGAAUUUACCACAUGAAGGACUGCAGAAACUAGUUUGUUUAAUAGUGUCCAGAAAGUAUUCUUGGACUAUGUCACUGAGUCUUUGUCUUCUGAGUAUCUAUUGAUAAAAUUAUCCUCUGUAUGGUGAACAUUUUUAUCUGACCAUCUAUUUCUGAUUUCUUGGUGCACAUGCGCGUAUCCUCUAGCGUACGGAAUUCUGCAAACCCCUACACUGUGUACAAGCAAAAUGUCUAUGUAUCAUUGAUAUAUAUAAAUAAAAUAAUAGGUAGUAGUGCUCUGAAAAAUGAUUGCCUUUAUGAUCUGGACACUGUCAUUUAAUCUGUUCUAGCACUGAGAAUCUUCAAAACUGAAUUAUAAUUGUUACAGUAGAAUAGAAUCUGAAUUAUAAUUGUUAC